UACGUAGGGACCAAGCGUUGUUCGGAUUUACUGGGCGUAAAGGGCGCGUGGGCGGCUUGACAAGUCACUUGUGAAAUCUCCGGGCUUAACUCGGAACGGCCAAGUGAAACUGUCAUGCUAGAGUGCAGAAGGGGCAAUCGGAAUUCUUGGUGUAGCGGUGAAAUGCGUAGAUAUCAAGAGGAACACCUGAGGUGAAGACGGGUUGCUGGGCUGACACUGACGCUGAGGCGCGAAAGCCAGGGGAGCAAACGGG
rnacentral:rRNA from 1 species